rnacentral:rRNA from 1 species
CAGUCGAGCGAACAGAUAAGGAGCUUGCUCCUUUGACGUUAGCGGCGGACGGGUGAGUAACACGUGGGUAACCUACCUAUAAGACUGGGAUAACUUCGGGAAACCGGAGCUAAUACCGGAUAACAUUUGGAACCGCAUGGUUCUAAAGUGAAAGAUGGUUUUGCUAUCACUUAUAGAUGGACCCGCGCCGUAUUAGCUAGUUGGUAAGGUAACGGCUUACCAAGGCGACGAUACGUAGCCGACCUGAGAGGGUGAUCGGCCACACUGGAACUGAGACACGGUCCAGACUCCUACGGGAGGCAGCAGUAGGGAAUCUUCCGCAAUGGGCGAAAGCCUGACGGAGCAACGCCGCGUGAGUGAUGAAGGGUUUCGGCUCGUAAAACUCUGUUAUUAGGGAAGAACAAAUGUGUAAGUAACUGUGCACGUCUUGACGGUACCUAAUCAGAAAGCCACGGCUAACUACGUGCCAGCAGCCGCGGUAAUACGUAGGUGGCAAGCGUUAUCCGGAAUUAUUGGGCGUAAAGCGCGCGUAGGCGGUUUCUUAAGUCUGAUGUGAAAGCCCACGGCUCAACCGUGGAGGGUCAUUGGAAACUGGGAAACUUGAGUGCAGAAGAGGAAAGUGGAAUUCCAUGUGUAGCGGUGAAAUGCGCAGAGAUAUGGAGGAACACCAGUGGCGAAGGCGACUUUCUGGUCUGUAACUGACGCUGAUGUGCGAAAGCGUGGGGAUCAAACAGGAUUAGAUACCCUGGUAGUCCACGCCGUAAACGAUGAGUGCUAAGUGUUAGGGGGUUUCCGCCCCU